rnacentral:rRNA from 1 species
UCGAGGGGACAGAUGGGAGCUUGCUCCCUGAUGUUAGCGGCGGACGGGUGAGUAACACGUGGGUAACCUGCCUGUAAGACUGGGAUAACUCCGGGAAACCGGGGCUAAUACCGGAUGGUUGUUUGAACCGCAUGGUUCAAACAUAAAAGGUGGCUUCGGCUACCACUUACAGAUGGACCCGCGGCGCAUUAGCUAGUUGGUGAGGUAACGGCUCACCAAGGCAACGAUGCGUAGCCGACCUGAGAGGGUGAUCGGCCACACUGGGACUGAGACACGGCCCAGACUCCUACGGGAGGCAGCAGUAGGGAAUCUUCCGCAAUGGACGAAAGUCUGACGGAGCAACGCCGCGUGAGUGAUGAAGGUUUUCGGAUCGUAAAGCUCUGUUGUUAGGGAAGAACAAGUACCGUUCGAAUAGGGCGGUACCUUGACGGUACCUAACCAGAAAGCCACGGCUAACUACGUGCCAGCAGCCGCGGUAAUACGUAGGUGGCAAGCGUUGUCCGGAAUUAUUGGGCGUAAAGGGCUCGCAGGCGGUUUCUUAAGUCUGAUGUGAAAGCCCCCGGCUCAACCGGGGAGGGUCAUUGGAAACUGGGGAACUUGAGUGCAGAAGAGGAGAGUGGAAUUCCACGUGUAGCGGUGAAAUGCGUAGAGGAUGUGGAGGAACACCCAGUGGCGAAGGCGACUUUUUUGGUCUGUAACUGACGCUGAGGAGCGAAAGCGUGGGGAGCGAACAGGAUUAGAUACCCUGGUAGUCACGCCGUAAACGAUGAGUGCUAAGUGUUAGGGGGUUUCCGCCCCUUAGUGCUGCAGCUAACGCAUUAAGCACUCCGCCUGGGGAGUACGGUCGCAAGACUGAAACUCAAAGGAAUUGACGGGGGCCCGCACAAGCGGUGGAGCAUGUGGUUUAAUUUGAAGCAACGCGAAGAACCUUACCAGGUCUUGACAUCCUUUGACAAUCCUAGAGAUAGGACGUCCCCUUCGGGGGCAGAGUGACAGGUGGUGCAUGGUUGUCGUCAGCUCGUGUCGUGAGAUGUUGGGUUAAGUCCCGCAACGAGCGCAACCCUUGAUUUUAGUUGCCAGCAUUCAGUUGGGCACUUUAAGGUGACUGCCGGUGACAAACCGGAGGAAGGUGGGGAUGACGUCAAAUCAUCAUGCCCCUUAUGACCUGGGCUACACACGUGCUACAAUGGACAGAACAAAGGGCAGCGAAACCGCGAGGUUAAGCCAAUCCCACAAAUCUGUUCUCAGUUCGGAUCGCAGUUUGCAACUCGACUGCGUGAAGCUGGAAUCGCUAGUAAUCGCGGAUCAGCAUGCCGCGGUGAAUACGUUCCCGGGCCUUGUACACACCGCCCGUCACACCACGAGAGUUUGUAACACCCGAAGUCGGUGAGGUAACCUUUUAGGAGCCAGCCGCCGAAGGUGGGACAGAUGAAUGGGGGAAGUCGUAACAAGGUAG